GAGGAGGGGGGCCCUGCCUCUAAAAUGCAUCUCUCUGGGGGACAUGACACCAAAGCUAAGAGACCAAUCAAGCAGGAGAGACCAGCCUCCCCUGUACCCAGCUGUGUGUCCAUGAAGAGUGACUGGUCUAUGGGUCAACCUGAAGAGUUUAGAGAGGGGAGACUUUUCUACUGAACAAAGGUAUAAGGUCAACGUAGCAAGUCUGGUGGACAUGGCAGAGCUCCAUACCCGCAGUCAGACCAGCAGAAACUGGAUCAGCAGCACUACAAGACCAAUCAAGCAGGAGAGACCAGCCUCCCCUGUUCCCAGCUGUGUGUCCAUGAAGAGUGACAAGUCUAUGAAUCUACCUAUAGAGUUUAGAGA